AACACCACAGAAGUAUGUCAUUGGGGGGAGGCGAAGAAAGGAUGUCAUUGGAUUAGACUGACGGUGUCCUUCUCCAGGAGACCGCCCCAUCCCCUUGGCACCAACCCCACCGGCCCUCCCUCUGGGAGGAGAGGAGACAUUUGAUUCAUCUUUACAUGAAGUUUUCAAGUGCCCGAAGCCCGUGGCUCGCUCUUUAAUGCACGUGCGGAACAUCGAAGUCCGUCUUCAUAACCCGUACACCUUUGCCCGAUGCCUGAAACAAAUACUUGCUGGACCAAAAAUAUUUUUCCCUGUCCUGCGCCUAUGUGUCCUAAGGCGAAGAACUUGGCACAUGUCUCCUUUCUCCACUGGGUCUCACGCGGCUGCUGUAGCGCUCGGCCCUUGCAGAGAGCGGACGACCGUUUCUGUCGUGUGCAAAGCCUGCCCUUGAAGAUAAUCCGCCAUUCCACGCAAUGUCCUGUGUUCCAAGUUUCAGUUAAGGAUCUGCUUUUUAAGGGACGCCUGAGUGGCUCAGUCGGUUCAGCAUCCGACUCUCGAUUUCAGCUCAGGUCGUGAUCUCAUGGUCGUGGGAUUGAGCCCUGAGACAGGCUCCGUGCUCUGCGUGGAGCCUCCUUGAGAUUCUCCCUCUGCCCCUCCCCCUGUUCUUGCUCUCUCCUAAAUAAAUGAAUUUUAAAAAAUAAUAAUAACA
rnacentral:lncRNA from 1 species